GCCCGUGACCACGUGGGACUCGUCACACACGUGCUUUCUUAUCCACACAAUCUCAUGGCUCCUUCUCUCCCAGCUCCUCGCGCUGCCCACCUACUGCCCUGGACCCCUGGGGUGACAGCAAAGGAAAGUCAACAGAGGAUCCGCGAGGCUGAGCUCUGGCGCGAGAGAGACACCGCAUUGUGUGUGUCGUCUCGAACCAGUAAGUACAUGUGACGUGAGUGCAGGAGUCGGCGGCCGGAGGAAAUGAUUUCUGUCUUCGCUGACCUCUGCUACGUGUGCUGGUCACCUCUCUGCUUAAUUGCUUUCGCUUCAAUUAUUUAUGGUUGGAAAGGACCUCGGCUUUACCUCCCCGAUGUCAGGGCACCUGUGUGCACAGAUGUCUCCGCUCAUCUCUGAAGUUUAGCGGAGCCGCAACCAAGAGCAGCUUCAGGGCCUCUUCUCCCUCCUCUCAGCCCUUGACUCUGAAAACAUGGCCCAUCCUCUUAGCAGACGACUGAGUUCCCAGAGUCGACGACUCAUCACACACAGGAUUUCAGCGUCCCCGGGUCUGAAGGCAGCCACGGGUUUCCAAAACCAUUUAGGAAAGAAAACAACCAAGUCUGAGGGACUGUCUUUGUUCCCAAAUAUUGUAUUUUAGACCAAAUUAUAUUCUGGCGGCAUGGGCACAACAUGUAUUUAAA